CCUACGGGGGGCAGCAGUGGGGAAUAUUGGACAAUGGGGGGAACCCUGAUCCAGCCAUGCCGCGUGUGUGAAGAAGGCCCUCGGGUUGUAAAGCACUUUCAGUGAGGAAGAACGCCUGGUGGUUAAUACCCAUCAGGAAAGACAUCACUCACAGAAGAAGCACCGGCUAACUCCGUGCCAGCAGCCGCGGUAAUACGGAGGGUGCGAGCGUUAAUCGGAAUUACUGGGCGUAAAGCGCGCGUAGGUGGCUUGAUAAGCCGGUUGUGAAAGCCCCGGGCUCAACCUGGGAACGGCAUCCGGAACUGUCAAGCUAGAGUGCGGGAGAGGAAGGUAGAAUUCCCGGUGUAGCGGUGAAAUGCGUAGAGAUCGGGAGGAAUACCAGUGGCGAAGGCGGCCUUCUGGACUGACACUGACACUGAGGUGCGAAAGCGUGGGUAGCAAACAGGAUUAGAUACCCCAGUAGUC
rnacentral:rRNA from 1 species